rnacentral:rRNA from 1 species
CGUGGGUAACCUGCCCAAGAGACUGGGAUAACACCUGGAAACAGAUGCUAAUACCGGAUAACAACACUAGACGCAUGUCUAGAGUUUAAAAGAUGGUUCUGCUAUCACUCUUGGAUGGACCUGCGGUGCAUUAGCUAGUUGGUAAGGUAACGGCUUACCAAGGCAAUGAUGCAUAGCCGAGUUGAGAGACUGAUCGGCCNCAUUGGGACUGAGACACGGCCCAAACUCCUACGGGAGGCAGCAG